rnacentral:rRNA from 1 species
UACGUAGGGUCCGAGCGUUGUCCGGAGUUACUGGGCGUAAAGCGCGCGCAGGCGGCGGUGUUGGCCCGGCGUGAAAGCCCCCGGCUCAACCGGGGAGAGUCGUCGGGGACCGCACCGCUUGAGGGCGGUAGGGGCUGGUGGAAUGCCUGGUGUAGUGGUGAAAUGCGUAGAUAUCAAGAGGAACACCUGAGGUGAAGACGGGUUGCUGGGCCGACACUGACGCUGAGUGCGCGAAAGCCAGGGGAGCAAACGGG